rnacentral:lncRNA from 13 species
UGGCUGCUAACCGUUCCACCCGUUGUUCGGAACUUCGCUCACCUCCCAGGCCUGUUUAGGCCUUUGUCUGUUGUCGUCAGGACUAGCUUGCUGAAGUAGAAACAAACUCAGAGAAAGUUGG